CUUUUAUUAGACAUUGACUGUCAUGUGUUACGCGUUUAUUGAACAUUAAUUUCGUGUACUUAAUUAAUGUUAACCUCCAAUAAAAUCGUGAUAUGUGAAAGUCAACGUCC
rfam:Glycine soja cultivar W05 scaffold2662_34, whole genome shotgun sequence.